UCGUUCUGGUUUUUCUUCAAAUCGAAUAAGUCUUUCGCCUUUUACUAAAGAUUUCCGUGGAGAAAAACACCAGGAGUCUAAAUUAAUUUUUCGUGGCUCUACUUUGUAGUGGAGCU